ensembl:snRNA U6 U6 spliceosomal RNA
GUUUUCUCUUUGGCAGCACAUAAAUUAAAAUUGGAAUGAUACAGAGAAGAUUAGCAUGGCCCCUGCGCAAGGAUGGUGUGCAAAUUCAUGAAGUGUUCCAUAUUUUU